AGCAUUUUUAAUAUGUAUAGUACUUUUUUAUUUUGCUUUCUAUCUCUUCAGUAUUCAGUUUUGAUGUGGUUAUGGGUAAUAAUUGGGUUUGCAGUGGAGUGACUUCACAAAGGUGUGUUGUAUAUUAUUUUGCUUGUUUCUUUAAAAAUUCAAAAUUUGAAUGUUCACAACAUGAGGACCCAGUGUACUGGUGAAGGAAGGGGAAACUCAGUGACACGCAGGCCAUUGUGCCACGUGAUUCAAAGCCAAGGAGCAAUCAGCCAAAGGUAGCUACAUGGAAGAAGAAGACUUGGACAUGCCUGCUGUGUUGGGUGAGUGCUACAGAAGUCCACAAGUGGUCCGUAUUUCAGCUUACACUAUCUGUUUCUGCCUGUCACGCAACUUCCUGGCCAUUGAUAGCACUGCACCACACUUUUGGUCCAGGCCACAACCCUACAAAGGAAAAAGUGUUCAUGAUGAUUUUCAUAUAACAGCUAUUCCAUGACCGUGGUACUUUUCUAUCUGCAGUGCUGUCCUGCAGGUGGGAAAAAAAAGAAAACCAUUGUCAUCACUCCACAUCAUUCUUUCCAUGGACUUCAGUCAACACGGAAGAGAGGAAGCCAUGCUUUAACAGUGGAAAUCAUGCUGAGAUGGCAUCUUCUCUAGCAGUGCUGACCAGGGAGAUUGCAAAGACUGAGUCAACAGAAGAGAGCAGGAGUAGGAGAGUCUGAAACUGCAAACUGCAGCAAGCUGGAGCCUAACCCGGCAACACAGGGCGCAAGGCUGGAGGGGGAGGGGACACACCCAGGAUGGGAUGCCAGUCAGUCGCAAGACACCCCAAGCAGGACUCGAGCCCCAGAUCCACCACAGAGCAGGCCCCAGCCAUACCUGCUGCACUGCUGUGUCACCACACCCCCUCUUAUGGUUUAAAAAAAUCAAGGAUUGCUCAACACGGACCGCAAGAAUGAAAAGAGCACAAGUCCUUCCACUACUGCAUCCGGCCUGUUUGCUCUCCAAACCUGGCAUGUCUAGUGUGCCACAGAAACCAUUAUUAGAGUAAUCCUGCUAAAAAUUAUAACACAACCUUUGAAAAAAGCAAAUAAAAUGUUUUUUAAACUUUAAAUUAACUCA
rnacentral:lncRNA from 1 species